CGAAAGUAAAAUUUCGUGGAGGUCCGAACCCACGAGCGUUGAAAAGCUCGGGGAUGACUUGUGGGUAGCGGUGAAAUUCCAAUCGAGCCCGGAGAUAGCUGGUUCUCCCCGAAAUAGCUUUAGGGCUAGCCUCAAGGUGAGAGAUACGGAGGUAGAGCACUGAAUGUCCUAGGGGGUAUUGCACCUACCGAAGACUAUCAAACUCCGAAUGCCGUCAUCUUAUACUUGGGAGUCAGACUGUGGGUGAUAAGAUUCAUAGUCGAAAGGGCAACAGCCCAGAUCGUCAGCUAAGGUCCCUAAAUGUAAGUUAAGUGGUAAAGGAUGUGGGAUUGCACAGACAACCAGGAUGUUGGCUUAGAAGCAGCCACUCAUUCAAAGAGUGCGUAAUAGCUCACUGGUCGAGUGAUCCUGCGCCGAAGAUUUCCGGGGCUAAAACUUACUACCGAAGCUACGGCAUCAGUAAUGAUGGGUAGGGGAGCUUCCCAUACGGGUUGAAGCAUGACCGUAAGGACAUGUGGACAGUAUGGGAGUGAGAAUGUUGGCAUGAGUAGCGAGAUGUGGGUGAGAAUCCCACAGGCCGUAAACCCAAGGUUUCCAGGGGAAGGUUCGUCCGCCCUGGGUUAGUCGGGACCUAAGCUGAGGCCGAAAGGCGUAGGUGAUGGACAACAGGUUGAUAUUCCUGUACUACC
rnacentral:rRNA from 1 species